rnacentral:rRNA from 1 species
CAGUCGCCGCGGGAAUACAGAGGGUGCGAGCGUUAAUCGGAUUUACUGGGCGUAAAGCGUGCGUAGGCGGCUAAUUGAGUCGGAUGUGAAAUCCCCGAGCUUAACUUGGGAAUUGCAUUCGAUACUGGUUAGCUAGAGUGUGGGAGAGGAUGGUAGAAUUCCAGGUGUAGCGGUGAAAUGCGUAGAGAUCUGGAGGAAUACCGAUGGCGAAGGCAGCCAUCUGGCCUAACACUGACGCUGAGGUACGAAAGCAUGGGGAGCAAACAGGAUUAGAUACCCGAGUAGUCCCUGUCUCUUAUAU